GCAUUUCCGCCUGGGGAGUACGGUCGCAAGGCUGANACUCNAAGGNNUUGACGGGGGCCCGCACAAGCGGUGGAGCAUGUGGUUUNAUUCGACGCAACGCGAAGAACCUUACCCAGGCUCGAAAUGCAGAUGACCAUCGGUGAAAGCCGACUCCCGCAAGGGCAUCUGUAUAGGUGCUGCAUGGCUGUCGUCAGCUCGUGUCGUGAGAUGUUGGGUUAAGUCCCGCAACGAGCGCAACCCUUGUUUCCUGUUGCCAUCACGUAAAGGUGGGCACUCUGGAGAGACUGCCGGUGACAAACCGGAGGAAGGUGGGGAUGACGUCAAGUCAGCAUGGCCUUUAUGUCUGGGGCUACACACGUGCUACAAUGGCCGAUACAAAGCGUUGCCAACUCGCGAGAGUGAGCUAAUCGCAUAAAGUCGGUCUCAGUUCGGAUUGCAGGCUGCAACUCGCCUGCAUGAAGUUGGAAUCGCUAGUAAUCGCGGAUCAGCAUGCCGCGGUGAAUACGUUCCCNGGCCUNNUACACANCGCCCCGUCACAUCACGAAANCNNGCUGUAAUANANNUCACUGCGCNAACCCGNAAGNNAGGGCANNUGCUUA
rnacentral:rRNA from 1 species